CAUAUCAAUAAGCGGAGGAAAAGAAACCAACAGGGAUUGCCUCAGUAACGGCGAGUGAAGCGGCAACAGCUCAAAUUUGAAAUCUGGCCCCUCCGGGGUCCGAGUUGUAAUUUGAAGAGGGUGUUUCGGGUGAGGCACCGGCCUAAGUCCCUUGGAACAGGGCGUCAUAGAGGGUGAGAAUCCCGUCUGCGGCCGGUGACCGAGUCCAUGUGAAACCCCUUCGACGAGUCGAGUUGUUUGGGAAUGCAGCUCUAAAUGGGUGGUAUAUUUCAUCUAAAGCUAAAUACCGGCCAGAGACCGAUAGCGCACAAGUAGAGUGAUCGAAAGAUGAAAAGCACUUUGGAAAGAGAGUUAAAAAGUACGUGAAAUUGUUGAAAGGGAAGCGCUUGCCACCAGACCUGUCGUCGGGUGAUCAGCCGUCGUUCUCGACGGUGCACUCGCCCGUUCGCAGGCCAGCAUCGGUUCGGGCGGUCGGAUAAAGGCCCCGGGAAUGUAGCUUCCUCCGGGGAGUCUUAUAGCCCGGGGUGCAAUGCGGCCAGCCGGGACCGAGGACCGCGCUUCGGCAAGGAUGCUGGCGUAAUGGUUGCAAAGCGGCCGUCUUGAAACACGGACCAAGGAGUCUAACAUCUAUGCCGAGUGUUUGGGUGUCAAACCCGUGCGCGGAAUGAAAGUGAACGGAGGUGGGAACCCCUUGAGGGCGCACCAUCGACCGAUCCAGAUGUCUUCGGAUGGAUUUGAGUAAGAGCAUAGCUGUUGGGACCCGAAAGAUGGUGAACUAUGCCUGAAUAGGGUGAAGCCAGAGGAAACUCUGGUGGAGGCUCGCAGCGGUUCUGACGUGCAAAUCGAUCGUCAAAUUUGGGUAUAGGGGCGAAAGACUAAUCGAACCAUCUAGUAGCUGGUUCCUGUCGAAGUUUCCCUCAGGAUAGCAGUAACGUUUUCAGUUUUAUGAGGUAAAGCGAAUGAUUAGAGUCCUUGGGGAUGAAACAUCCUUAAACUAUUCUCAAACUUUAAAUAUGUAAGAAGUCCUUGUUACUUAGUUGAACGUGGACAUUUGAAUGCACCGUUACUAGUGGGCCAUUUUUGGUAAGCAGAACUGGCGAUGCGGGAUGAACCGAACGUGGGGUUAAGGUGCCGGAAUGCACGCUCAUCAGACACCACACACGAAAGCGUUCGCAUGCCACGGAAAGCACCGGCGGGGACUGGCAGAUUUACAGAGGCAACCAACGCUAGAAUCCUCUCGUCUGUCCGUAUUGAGGGCCUAAAUCAUGUGGUGUCCCGGCCGAGAAGAUAGUUAACUCAUCUCCUCGGGUAUAGUCUAUGCAUUGCGUAGGCAAGGUUUUCGAUCUUUGGGGCUCGCCGACUUCUCGUCGGUUUACCCUCAGCCGUUUUUGCGGUUCACAGAUCAAGCGAAGGCCGACGGCUUCCUCGCACGAGACGAGAGUCGUUUGAGAUAUGAUCGGCUUCUAGGAGCAAAUCCUGGAAAUUCAGCGCAAAAGGUGUUAAUUCAUCCAGACAGCAGGACGG
rnacentral:rRNA from 1 species